rnacentral:lncRNA from 1 species
AUUUGCAUAGGGUAAAAUUAUUAUUUUUUUUUUUGCUACUGGAGAUCGAACUCGACCUUGCGCUUGUGAGGCAGGUGACAGAACCACUGAGCUAAAUCCCUGACCCACGCAUGGGGUAAAUUUCUCCAAAUAAAGGCUAUCAACAUGCUGUUAAGUUUCUGUCUUAACUGAGCCAGGCUUGAUGACGCAUGCCUGUGAUCCCAGCAUUUGGGAUGCUCAGGCAGGAGGAUUGCCUGGAGUUCGAGGCCAGCCUGGACUACAUAGUUCAGGGUCAGCCUGAACUACAAAGGAAGACUGUGCCGCAAAAAAAAAAAAAAAAAAAAGAUUUUGUUUUAAAUGCUCAAGUUUUCCAGACUUGGCCUUCCUCACCUGAUACAGAAUUGACCAUUUUUAAGAAUCUGGUGACUUGGGUUUGUUUCCUCCUAUAUGGUUGAUUGCUCGCAGUUUUCAGCUAAGAAGGUGGUUUUUCCCGUCUGGCUGCAGGGUGGAGAGAAGUGGAGAGGGGAAGCCGCCCCCGGGAGCACUCAGUCCAAUUUACACACUGGUGCAGGAAUGAGUCCGGGUCCUUCGUGGGCGGGGGCCUAGAUGACCGCAAAAGCCCCUUCGCCGGGCCUACCCGCUCCUGGCCCACGGUUGCUAGGCUACGCCGGCGUCCGGAGCUGGGCGCGGGGGCGAGCCUGUCCCGCGAGGCUGUACGCGGCCUCUGCCCUGCCCAGCGGGCUCCGCCUCACCUUGGAACUUCUGCUCCCCCGCUCUGUGACCCUCCCGGGCCAGGUAGCCCCAACCCCGGACCUCCCAGCCGCCAGAUGGCAACGCCUCGGGGUGCCCCGCCCCGCUUCUUUCGCUUUCUUCCGGACGUCCUGGUGGAUAACAUCCCCCAGAAGGGAGAGAGACCGAGCCAGGGAAGCAUCAGCAGCUUCUGUGUGAGCAGCAGUCCCCUGGGAGCGCGGGCGCCAUGCGGAGGUAGCAUGUUCCCUGCGCUGAAGACCGAGCUGCAGCAGGUGGGUCCGCUCCGCCCAGCCCCAGACUGAAGGUCCAGCUGCAGAUCCCAGCUGGGCAGGGCAGUUCCCAGAGCUCUUUGUGCGGUUACGGAUGGCUGUCCGUGUGUGUGUGUGUGUGUGUGUGUGUGUGUGUGUGCGCGCGCGCGUGUGUGCCCGUGCGCUUUUUGUGGAGACUCCGGGCUCCCUGGGAGAGGGUUCCCUGAGGGGGUGACUAUCCUCCACAGCCGCUGCCCGACCCCUACGAGGACUUCAUGCGCCGUCACCUGCAGUACUACGGCUACUUCCGAGGUAACCCUGACCGGCCGGCCCGUGUCCCAAGGGGGCUGUGCGCCCAGAGGGAGGGAGCAUCCCCGAGACGCACUCUCAAUGCCCAUUGGUAGCGAGUGCUUCCUCCUCGCCUUGCUCUGCUUCCUCUCCUGGCCGUGACACACUCGCGCUUUGUCUGUCUUUGGGCCAACACUGCCAUCUCUGCCCUUCAACUCACUGUGUACCCCAGGCUAGUCUUGAACUCGUGAUCCUUCUGCCUCAGCCUCCUGAGUGCUGGGAUAACUAGUGCCACCUCCACCACCACCACCAUUUCUUCAUUUUCGAAAUGAUUACUAGUUUGCUGAAUUUCCGGUUUGCCAGAUUCCGCAGAUGGCCCAGGACAGGGGCCUCAGGCCGCCCUGGUGCUGGCGCCCUCCCCGGGGUUGGGCUCCCGCCGGCCGCCCCUCCCGCCGGCCUCGCUGCGCUCAGCUCUGCCCCUGCUCGCUCACGGCUGUGACCUGGGGUCG